rnacentral:rRNA from 1 species
AACGAACGCUGGCGGCAUGCCUAACACAUGCAAGUCGAACGAGAUCUUCGGGUCUAGUGGCGCACGGGUGCGUAACGCGUGGGAAUCUGCCCUUUGGUUCGGAAUAACAGUUGGAAACGACUGCUAAUACCGGAUGAUGACGAAAGUCCAAAGAUUUAUCGCCAGAGGAUGAGCCCGCGUAGGAUUAGCUAGUUGGUGUGGUAAAGGCGCACCAAGGCGACGAUCCUUAGCUGGUCUGAGAGGAUGAUCAGCCACACUGGGACUGAGACACGGCCCAGACUCCUACGGGAGGCAGCAGUGGGGAAUAUUGGACAAUGGGCGAAAGCCUGAUCCAGCAAGGCCGCGUGAGUGAUGUAGGCCUUAGGGUUGUAAAGCUCUUUUACCCGGGAUGAUAAUGACAGUACCGGGAGAAUAAGCUCCGGCUAACUCCGUGCCAGCCGCCGCAGUAAUAC